GAUAAACGCUGGCGGCGUGCAUGAGACAUGCAAGUCGAACGGACGAUCAGGGCUUGCUCUGAUCGUUAGUGGCGGACGGCUGAGCAACGCGUAGGUGACCUGCCCCGAAGUGGGGGAUAACUGCCCGAAAGGGUGGCUAAUACCGCAUGUGGUGGUUCGUUCAUUCGAACCAUCAAAGCAGCAAUGCGCUUCGGGAGGGGCCUGCGUCCGAUUAGCUCGUUGGUGGGGUAACGGCUCACCAAGGCGACGAUCGGUAGGUGGUCUGAGAGGACGAUCACCCAGACUGGGACUGAGACACGGCCCAGACUCAUACGGGAGGCAGCAGGCGGGAAUUUUGCGCAAUGGGCGAAAGCCUGACGCAGCAACGCCGCGUGAGGGAUGACGGCCUUCGGGUUGUAAACCUCUUUUCUCAGGGACGAUGAUGACGGUACCUGAGGAAGAAGCCACGGCUAACUACGUGCCAGCAGCCGCCGCGGUAA
rnacentral:rRNA from 1 species